rnacentral:rRNA from 1 species
UGGGGAAUAUUGCACAAUGGGCGCAAGCCUGAUGCAGCCAUGCCGCGUGUAUGAAGAAGGCCUUCGGGUUGUAAAGUACUUUCAGCGAGGAGGAAGGCGGUAAGGUUAAUAACCUUAUCGAUUGACGUUACUCGCAGAAGAAGCACCGGCUAACUCCGUGCCAGCAGCCGCGGUAAUACGGAGGGUGCGAGCGUUAAUCGGAAUUACUGGGCGUAAAGCGCACGCAGGCGGUCUGUCAAGUCGGAUGUGAAAUCCCCGGGCUCAACCUGGGAACUGCAUUCGAAACUGGCAGGCUAGAGUCUUGUAGAGGGGGGUAGAAUUCCAGGUGUAGCGGUGAAAUGCGUAGAGAUCUGGAGGAAUACCGGUGGCGAAGGCGGCCCCCUGGACAAAGACUGACGCUCAGGUGCGAAAGCGUGGGGAGCAAACA